rnacentral:rRNA from 1 species
UACAGAGGGUGCGAGCGUUGUCCGGAAUCACUGGGCGUAAAGGGCGCGUAGGUGGCACGACAAGUCAGUGGUGAAAGCUCGACGCUCAACGUCGAGUCGGCCACUGAGACUGUUGAGCUGGAGCACUGUAGAGGCUAAUGGAAUUCCGGGUGUAGCGGUGGAAUGCGUAGAGAUCCGGAAGAACACCGGUGGCGAAGGCGGUUAGCUGGGCAGUUGCUGACACUGAGGCGCGACAGCGUGGGGAGCAAACAGG